rnacentral:rRNA from 1 species
GACGAACGCUGGCGGCGUGCUUAACACAUGCAAGUCGAGCGGAAAGGCCCUUCGGGGUACUCGAGCGGCGAACGGGUGAGUAACACGUGAGUAACCUGCCCUUGGCUUUGGGAUAACCCUCGGAAACGGGGGCUAAUACCGGAUAUUCACUUUCCUUGGCAUCAGGGUUGGUGGAAAGUUUUUCGGUCCAGGGAUGGGCUCGCGGCCUAUCAGCUUGUUGGUGGGGUAAGUGGCCUACCAAGGCGACGACGGGUAGCCGGCCUGAGAGGGCGACCGGCCACACUGGGACUGAGACACGGCCCAGACUCCUACGGGAGGCAGCAGUGGGGAAUAUUGCACAAUGGGCGAAAGCCUGAUGCAGCGACGCCGCGUGAGGGAUGACGG